rnacentral:rRNA from 1 species
UACGUAGGGUGCAAGCGUUAAUCGGAAUUACUGGGCGUAAAGCGUGCGCAGGCGGUUUGUAAGUCUGUCGUGAAAUCCCCCGGGCUCAACCUGGGGAAUUGGCGAUGGAGACUGCAAGGCUAGAAUCUGGCAGAGGGGGGUGAGAAUUCCACGUUCGUAGCAGUGAAAUGCGUAGAGAUGGUGGAGGAACACCGAUGGCGAAGGCAGCCCCCUGGGU